UCCUAAACUUAAAAAUAUUUCCUAUUUUUUUCUGACUUAUCUGAUUAUUUGUCAAUGAUAGUCAUGAAAUUAAAAUAUUUCCUAUUUUUGCUGACUUAUGUUACUACCUGUCAGUAUUGUUUACUCUUUUAACUCCUAAACAUAAAAAUAUUUCCUAUUUUUGCUGACUUAUCUGAUUAUUUAACAGUGAUAGUCACAAAGUUAAAAUAUUUCCUAUUUUUGCUGACUUAUGUUACUAUCUGACAUUAAGAAAGCUCUUAAAACCAUCCUAUUUUUCAUUAUAAUCCUACUGCCUUAAAAUUUCAACUUUCUCACACAUGAGGAGUGAAUCCUGGCUAAAUGGCUUGAGGAAAAGGUUAGACGAGAAACCAUCUGACCCUGAAUGCUGGAGCCGGUUGAGACAAGGAAUCGCUCGAUCGCUGACAUGCGGUCCUAUAUCUCGGCAGAUCUCAGAUUUGCUAGUCACAAUGCAGAUAAUUACGGUAAAAAAGAUUAUAUAGGAUUUAACAAGAUGCAGUGGGAACACGUGCCAACCUUGUUCUAUGUCAGUGUGCUUUUUCUUUUUCUGAGGUCAAGAAGGUUAAUUGGGUUAGGAUUUGGAAUUUUCCACUAGUCUCACUUAGCUAUGUCUAUUUAAUAUUCCAAGAAUCCUUACCCCACGACUGAAAUUCAAAAUUCAAAUUAAAAAAUUCUUUCACGGCCAAAAUCUAAUUUAAUUAAUCUCUGACUUUUAAAAGUUUAAUCUGGAAUAUCACAUCUCUGAAAUUAAGACUUGAAAUUAUGCAACAUCAAGUAUAUGCAAUUUAAAUAUCACUCCUCUGAAAGUAAGACUUGAAGUUAUGUAAUAUUAAGUAUAUGCAAUUUAAAUUUGUUUGAGUGCCUUUUUAUACGGCCUAAAUCGCAAAGAGUAAUGAAUUUAUAACCUGGACUGCCUUGAUUUGAAAGGGAAAUGAAAUAUUCCUUUUUUUCCUUUCUUCAUGGGUCUCUCCUUACCUAGUUAAACUGAGACCUGGAAGAAAAACGAACAGCGAACCUCAGACGAUCGGACGGAUCCCUUAAUUACAUCUCUCAGCGGAGAAUAACUGUAAAAAAUAUUUUCCCAUAGUUCCCGAGAAGACUGGCUGAAUUCUUUUCACCAUCAAUUAUUUUUUAUACAGAGAGCAGGGACGUGCACACGGAUCAAUUGGGAUUGUAAAGGUUGAAAAACCGAUUGAACCAAAACUAACGUACAUGUAUUGAAUAUAAUUCCAAUAAAAAUACAACUUAAAGUAUACAAUGCCAGCUAUAUAAGUUUAAAGACUUCUUUAUCUUUAUUUCUUUUAUCUUUAAUUUGAUAGCCAGAAUAUUAAACUUCCAAGAUAUUAAAUCAGUCUGAAAUUGAAGAUCUUACUCAAUCAAACGCUUCAACUUAAGUCUGGAACUCCAAUGAUUCUCGAAAUUCCGGGAUUAAAACUUUAUCAACAUAUUAUAUUUCAAAUCCCAAGGGCUUUAAUAUCAAAGGGAAAUAUAAGAAUUCUCUCUUCUUGUCUUCAUAGUUUGUUUUCUAUACUUAGUUAAACUGAUACCUGGAGGAUGAAUGAGCGGCGAAACUCAGAGGAUCUGGCGGAUCCCAUAGCUGCACCUCUCAGCAGAAAAUAACGGUAAAAAAAUAUAUUUCCAUAAGUUCCCGGGAAGACUGGCAGAUCUCCUUCAUUAUAAACGAAUUUUUAAUCCUUUUUAUACAGAGAGCAGGGACGUGCACACGGGUCAUUUUGGAUUCCAAAGGUCGAAACCCUUUUGAACCAGAACUAAUGUACAUGCUAUUUAAAAUUAUUCAAUUAAAAUUUCAACUUAAAGUAUGCAAUGGCAGUUGUCUUAGUUUAAAGACUUUCUCAUCUUUUAAUCUAUAAUUUGAUACUUCAGAUUUAAAACAUCCAGGAUAUUAAAGUAGUCUAAAAACAAAGUUCUUACUUAAUAGUUCAAUGUUUUAACUCAAGCCUCGAUUUCCAAUGAUACUCGAAAUUCCAGAAUUAGAACUCUAUCAACAUGCUUAAUUAAAACCCCGACAGACUCGAAUUUUUUCCCUUCGUCAUGGUUCUCUAUUUACCUAGUUAAACUGAAACCUGGAGGACGAGUGAGCGGAGCACCUCAGAGAAACUAGCAGAUCCUACAGCUUCAUCACUCAGCACAUAAUAACGUCUGAGGAAACUGUAACGCCUCCUGAACCGUCAAACCUCACUGCCGAGAAAUCAUGAUGUCUCAAGAAGAGGAGAUAACUACGCUACAUCGAUAUCUCUAAAUCUUUGCACAAUAUAAAUGUGCACCAUACCUUUCUAUAUCUUGAUGAUUUGAGAGAAAUAUAGAGGUUAAGCACUAAUCUCUUUUCAAUGUCCUAGACAGUAGCGCAGAACCAAUGUUCUACGUGAGUCUAGUUCUUAAGCAUAAUUUGUUUUUUUUCCAAUUGAAACUAAACGCUUCUCCAAUAAGCUUUUUCACAUUUAACACUUCUUGAUUUUGGGCCGUGUAGAUUAUUAACUACAGAGAGAAAGGAACAUGCAUGAAGGAACCAUCAAUGUACCUUAAAUACAUCGUUUUCUAUAUUUACGUCGGCUAAUUAGCAUCAAGACGACUUAGUUUAAAUAAUGUAAUGCCAUACCAACGUUGAACUUUCAAUGUUCUUCGUUAGUACAAUCGUAGUUUCUUCCAUAUUGCAUACAGUGACAUUAUACCAUUGUUACAUAAAAACUGUAUAAUGCUUUGCUCAAAUUGAUUUUCUUCAUAAAAUGCUCAAAUUAUAUUUUAUGCAAUUUAUUCUCUACACUUUCAUUGUUGCACUCUUCAAUUUGUAUGUCUUGCAGGAUCCAAGUAUCCCUAAAUCCAAAUUUCUAAUUAAAG